UCUUUGCUAGUAUAUCGGUUAGUACACGCGCCUGUCAUGGCCUAACUGUGCGCGCGAAAGCUGGGUUCGACUCCCAGGCAGAGAG